rnacentral:sRNA from 1 species
CUGAAAUGUUACACAGUUGAUAGAGGUUCUCGAU